UAAAACUGUCCUGGGUUCAGAAAACUUUUAUGUAAAUAUGGCAGCGUGGGCCUGUCAUAUUUGCAGAGUACUCAGUGUACACAGCUUUCCAAGAAAAACUGUGAAAAUAAACUGGGGUUCCUGUGAGUGUGGGGUGGGAAUAAGGCUUGGUCAUCUGCCAAACAUGUGUUAUACAAUGAAAAUGACGCAGCUUGAGACUGUUAAAACUAUGUUGUUAUCCCUAAAAACUCCUCAUUGCAGGGGGUGCAUUCUGUGGAGCCAAGGAAUUCAGCCCAGACUCUCCCUCCCUCUCCUGUCUGUAGUAGAGCACCAUUUGGCAGGAAGUUCUGCGAAGAUCUACUGACCUACUACUACUACUACUACUACUACUACUGACGAGUAGGCAUCAAUGUGAAGUGAUGUCUGACCUGAACAGCCUCUUCCUGCCUGAGGAUCUGGGUGAACCGUUGCAGCUGCUCUGCACCACAGAACUCUUCAUGGCCUCUACCCACGGCGAGGUCAUCUGCACACAGAAAAAUAAAACAGCC